GUGGGGAAUAUUGGACAAUGGGCGGAAGCCUGAUCCAGCAACGCCGCGUGAGGGAUGACGGCCUUCGGGUUGUAAACCUCUUUCAGCACAGACGAAGCGCAAGUGACGGUAUGUGCAGAAGAAGGACCGGCCAACUACGUGCCAGCAGCCGCGGUAAUACGUAGGGUCCGAGCGUUGUCCGGAAUUAUUGGGCGUAAAGGGCUCGUAGGCGGUUUGUCGCGUCGGGAGUGAAAACACCGGGCUUAACUCGGUGCUUGCUUCCGAUACGGGCAGACUAGAGGUAUUCAGGGGAGAACGGAAUUCCUGGUGUAGCGGUGAAAUGCGCAGAUAUCAGGAGGAACACCGGUGGCGAAGGCGGUUCUCUGGGAAUGACCUGACGCUGAGGAGCGAAAGUGUGGGGAGCGAACAGG
rnacentral:rRNA from 1 species